CUGUUCCUAGACCGUCAUUGAAAAUAAGAAUUUGUUCUUAACUGACUUGCCUAGUAAAAUAAAUUUUAAAAAGGACGUUGAGGUGUGAUUAUGUGGGAGUGGGUCAGUAGUAAACAUGUUUAAGGACAGUGAGGUGGGUCGGUAGUAAACAUGUUUAAGGACAGUGAGGUGGGUCAGUAGUAAACAUGUUUAAGGACAGUGAGGUGUGAUUAUGUGGGGGUGGGUCAGUAGUAAACAUGUUUAAGGACAGUGAGGUGUGAUUAUGUGGGGGUGGGUCAGUAGUAAACAUGUUUAAGGACAGUGAGGUGUGAUUAUGUGGGAGUGGGUCAGUAGUAAACAUGUUUAAGGACAGUGAGGUGUGAUUAUGUGGGAGUGGGUCAGUAGUAAACAUGUUUAAGGACAGUGAGGUGUGAUUAUGUGGGGGUGGGUCAGUAGUAAACAUGUUUAAGGACAGUGAGGUGUGAUUAUGUGGGGGUGGGUCAGUAGUAAACAUGUUUAAGGACAGUGAGGUGUGAUUAUGUGGGGGUGGGUCAGUAGUAAACAUGUUUAAGGACAGUGAGGUGUGAUUAUGUGGGGGUGGGUCGGUAGUAAACAUAUAUA
ensembl:lncRNA